AGCUCUCCUCCCCAGAUUUGUGAACCUUGUGAUUGUUCAGUGGACACCUCAUGUGUUGCUGGUGGGAAAGUCACAUGUGGAGACAGUUGGGCAAAGCCUUGGGACGUUAAAUGCAGAGUCACUUAUGACCCAGCACUUCCCUCCUAUGCACCUGGUACGCCGCAGAUCAGUGAAACCUACGUCCACACAGAAACGUGUACACAAAUCUCUCCACAGCACUGUUCACAGUAGCCAAAAACUAAAAACUAACCACAUGUCCAUCAGCUGAUGAAUGGAUAAUAAAACGUGGGAAAUCCACACCAGGAGAGAAAAAGGAGUGAGGCACCAGCACAGGCACCACAUGGAUGAACCCGAAACCCAACGCUAAGUGAAGGAAGGCUCCAGCUGUAGGGAGUGUCCCAGACACAGCCAGAGAUUAAAGGGCGCCAGGGCCGGGAGUGGGGGCUGGGGCUGGGGACACGGUGGCCGGGAGUGGGUGGGGUUUGUUUUGGGGAUGAUGAGAAUGUUCUUAGAUUGUGUGUGGUGAUGGCUGCUCACCUCUAUAAACCUUUUACGAAAAACCAUGGACUGGGUGGAUACAGUGUGUGAAUUCUCUCUGAGUCCAGCACUUUGAAAAAGGUGGACGAUGCCAACAUCACUAACCACCAGGGAGACGCAGGCCACGGCCAUGCCCGGCUCACUGGAGUUGUGAGGAUGGAAACACCAGCCCGCCUCCCUCAAUUCAGACCUCAGCGUGGAUGCAAAGAAUGUCUGGGAUGGGGACUGGCAGCUGAUUAGAGACGCAAUCGCUGAACCUAUGGACUGUGUUCAAACAAAUGCUAGCAGAAUGCAAAGGCAACUGUUAUAGGAGGCAGAAAGAAAGGGUUUAGGUAGGGUAAAGCCAGUCUCCGGCAGAAAACUUGCCUUUUAACAAAAAUAGCUCCCUUUCUAACCUCUGAGUUCAAAAUCACUUCUUCUCUAACACCAAGCAGGCUGAAAGAGCAGACCGUAAGUCACAGACGAGACAGCUCGGGCAGAGAAGGAGUCAGCGGGGAGUCUCCUGGGUAAUUGCCAAACUUCACACUUACACAACGGGCCCCAGUAGAACAGUGGGCCCUAAUAAGCACAUUCCCUUUAGGCACUCUAAGAUAGGGAAACUAAAAGCAGACUGUCCGGGGUGCCUGUAGCCCCAAGAAGAUGUCUGGGAACAGACCCAGAGACCUCCCAGAAAAGCGUCACAGAGCAACAGACUAAGAGUCUGAUAGGAACUCUUCUCUAUGCAGAUACCACACCCGGUCCCAGCUAAAUCCUUGGGCCCUGGGAGGACAGGACAUCCCUCCUCUAGCCCCUCAUCACUAGCCCACUUAUGAAAACCUUGACAGGCCGGGCACGGUGGCUCACGCCUGUAAUCUCAGCACUUUGGGAGGUUGAGUCGGGCAGAUCACAAGGUCUGGAGAUCAAGACCAUCCUGGCCAACAUGGUGAAACCCCACCUCUACUAAAAAUACAAAACUUAGCUGAGUGUGGUGGCGUGUACCUCAGGAGGCUGAGGCACGAGAAUCGCUUGAACCCGGGAGGUGGAGGUUGCAGUGGGCCGAGAUCGCGCCACAGCACUCAAGCCUGGGCGACAGGAAAAACCAAACAAACAAAAAAGCCUUGACAUCUUUACUACAACUUGGCAGCCCACUCAGUUCCCCUCUGUGACGGAGAGCUGUUCUUUCCUUUUGCUUAUUAAACGUCUGCUCCAAA